rnacentral:rRNA from 1 species
CUGGUUGAUCCUGCCGGAGAUCACCGCUAUUAGAGUUCCACUAACCCAUGCGAGUUCCUGGGUAAAACCAGAGCGAACGGCUGAGUAACACGUAGUUAACAUCACUUUAGGUGGCGAAUAACCUUGGGAAACUGAGAUGAAUACGCCAUAGUCAAUUAUGCCUGGAACGGUUUAUUGACCAAAGCUUCGGCGCCUAAAGAUUAGACUGCGGUGGAUUAGGUAGAUGUUAGGGUAAUGACCUGACAUGCCAAUAAUCCAUAGGGGCCAUGAAAGUGGUGGCCUCCAGAUGGAUUCUGAGACACGAAUCCAGGCCCUAUGGGGCGCAGCAGGGGGGAAAACUCCGCAAUGCACGAAAGUGUGACGGGGGAACUCUAAGCGAAAGUGCACCGGGGGAACUCUAAGUGCCAGCACACCGCUAGGGCUUUUCAUUAGUCCAAAUCGCUAGUGGAAUAAGUGGGGGGUAAGACCGUUGCCAGCCUUUUUAGGAAUUGGCAAUGCCCAAGUCUUAGAACUGGAUGCCGCGGUAAUAACGGCUCCACAAGUGGUGAUCACGUAUAUUGGGUCUAAAGCAUUCGUAGCCGGUUUGUUAAGUCUUCUGUGAAAUCUGGCAGAAAACUGUCAGGCGUGCAGGAGAUACUGGCAAGCUUGGGACCGGGAGGAGCCUGGAGUACUUUUAGGGUAGGGGUAAAAUCCUGUAAUCCUAAAGGGACUACCUGUGGCGAAGGCGCCAGGCUAGAACGGAUUCGACGGUGAGGAAUGAAAGCGAGGGGAGCAAAGGGGAUUAGAUUGACUUCAGUAGAAUUUUUCGACUGAAGACCUAAAUACCCCCGUAGUCCUCGCUGUAAACGAUGCCCGCUUGGUAUUGGAAGUUGCUAGACUUCUUCCAGUGCCGUAGGGAAGCCAUUGAGCGGGCCACCUGGGAAGUACAGUCGCAAGGCUGAAGCUUAAAGGAAUUGGCGGGGGAGCACACAAGGGGUGCGGUUUGCGGUUCAAUUGGAUUCAACGCCGGGAACCUCACCAGGGGUGACAGCAGUAUGAUGGUCAGUCUGAAGGGCUUACCUGACGCGCUGAGAGGUAUUGCAUGGCCGUCGUCAGCUCGUGCCGCGAGAGCUUUUACUAGUCUUUCUUAGGAAAGGCUCCGGUAAAGGUGUCCUGUUAACAGGUCGUGGUGCAGCAUAAAUGACAUCACCAUGGAAGCUUUUUCACCAUUUUCAAGUUCGCAAGAACUUGAAAAGCUUGAAAUCCGUAAGGAUUUCAUGACACCCUAAGUAUUAUAUAACAAGUAAACAAAAGCAAGAGAGCUUGUACGUAGUAAUACUCAGGCUUCGGAUAAAUUAUUAAAAGCCUUUAUUUUCAAACUCGAAAGAGUUUGGAAAGCUUGGAAAUUCUCGAAGAAUUUCCAUGAUCUGACAGAUAGUCAGGUAACGAGCGAGACCCACGCCGUAUGUUGCCAGCUGUUUCUUCGGAAGCGGCGCACUCAUGCGGGACUGCCCGUGCUAAAUGGGGGGAAGGAGUGGUCAACGGUAGGUCAGUAUGGUCCGAAUCCCCUGGGCUACACGCGGGCGCCAAUGGCAAGGACAAUAGGAUGCAACUCCGAAAGGAGGAGCUAAUCCCUGAACCCUUGUCUCAGUACAGAUUGAGGGUUGCAACUCACCCUCAUGACGCCGGAAUCCCUAGUAGGCGAAUGUUAGCAUCUUUCGUCGAAUACGUCCCCGCUCCUAGCGCACAC